rnacentral:tRNA from 1 species
GCCUCCUUGGCUCAGGGGUAGAGCGUCUGCCUAGUAAGCAGAAGGUCGAGAGUUCAAAUCUCUCAGGAGGCA